AUACGGGGGGUGCAAGCGUUGUUCGGAAUUAUUGGGCGUAAAGCGCGCGUAGGCGGACCAUUAAGUCUGAUGUGAAAUCCCUCGGCUCAACCGAGGACCUGCAUUGGAUACUGGUGGUCUUGAAUCUCGGAGAGGGUGGCGGAAUUCCCAGUGUAGAGGUGAAAUUCGUAGAUAUUGGGAGGAACACCGGCGGCGAAGGCGGCCACCUGGACGAUGAUUGACGCUGAGGUGCGAAAGCAUGGGUAGCAAACAGGAUUAGAAACCCUAGUAGUCC
rnacentral:rRNA from 1 species